CACUUCUGAAAUCAACCAGUACCAUCUUUUCGCCAGAACACACAGGGACAAAUCCCCAGGACAGUACAUACUGGGAUUCUUCAAUCUAGUCUAUAAUUUUG